UACGUAGGGGGCAAGCGUUGUCCGGAAUUAUUGGGCCUAAAGCAUCCGUAGCCGGCCUUACAAGUCCUCCGUUAAAUCCAGCUGCUUAACAGAUGGGCUGCGGAGGAUACUAUAAGACUAGGAGGCAGGAGAGGCAAGCGGUACUCAGUGGGUAGGGGUAAAAUCCGUUGAUCCAUUGAAGACCACCAGUGGCGAAGGCGGCUUGCCAGAAUGCGCUCGACGGUGAGGGAUGAAAGCUGGGGGAGCAAACCGG
rnacentral:rRNA from 1 species